rnacentral:rRNA from 1 species
GAUGAACGCUGGCGGCGUGCCUAAUACAUGCAAGUCGAGCGAACGGACGAGAAGCUUGCUUUUCUGACGUUAGCGGCGGACGGGUGAGUAACACGUGGAUAACCUACCUAUAAGACUGGGAUAACUUCGGGAAACCGGAGCUAAUACCGGAUAAUAUUUUGAACCGCAUGGUUCAAUAGUGAAAGACGGUCUUGCUGUCACUUAUAGAUGGAUCCGCGCUGCAUUAGCUAGUUGGUAAGGUAACGGCUUACCAAGGCAACGAUGCAUAGCCGACCUGAGAGGGUGAUCGGCCACACUGGAACUGAGACACGGUCCAGACUCCUACGGGAGGCAGCAGUAGGGAAUCUUCCGCAAUGGGCGAAAGCCUGACGGAGCAACGCCGCGUGAGUGAUGAAGGUCUUCGGAUCGUAAAACUCUGUUAUUAGGGAAGAACAUAUGUGUAAGUAACUGUGCACAUCUUGACGGUACCUAAUCAGAAAGCCACGGCUAACUACGUG